rnacentral:rRNA from 1 species
AUUGAACGCUGGCGGCAGGCCUAACACAUGCAAGUCGAGCGGAUGAAGGGAGCUUGCUCCUGGAUUCAGCGGCGGACGGGUGAGUAAUGCCUAGGAAUCUGCCUGGUAGUGGGGGAUAACGUCCGGAAACGGGCGCUAAUACCGCAUACGUCCUGAGGGAGAAAGUGGGGGAUCUUCGGACCUCACGCUAUCAGAUGAGCCUAGGUCGGAUUAGCUAGUUGGUGGGGUAAAGGCCUACCAAGGCGACGAUCCGUAACUGGUCUGAGAGGAUGAUCAGUCACACUGGAACUGAGACACGGUCCAGACUCCUACGGGAGGCAGCAGUGGGGAAUAUUGGACAGUUGGCGGAAGCCUGAUCCAGCCAUGCCGGGUGUGUGAAGAAGGUCUUCGGAUUGGAAAGCACUUUUAGUUGGGAGGAAGGGCAGUAAGUUAAUACCUUGCUGUUUUGACGUUACCAACAGAAUAAGCACCGGCUAACUUCGUG